ACUAGAGUGGAAGGCUACUUCAUCUUCAAUAAAAACUCCUUCUCUUCAUUCUCCUUCUUCAAGCCAGACUUAUCGUUGAGAGUUCUGACGACCGAAAGCAACCUUCUCUGGCAACUCUUCGGCUAGUGUAGAGAUAGGUGCCUUGCCUUAUCCGUAGCGAGUUGUAGUUUGCGGGACUUGGUGAACCCAACUCUGUAGCUCGGAGCCAGGUAGGCUCUCGCACUGUGUAAUUCCAUAUAUCUGGCAAUAAUUACUAUGUAAUUAUUGCAUUGUUUAGUAAUUUCAUUUAUUUAUUUAUUUACGUGAUAUUUAUGUUUAUUUAUUUAUUUUAUUAAUGCAUUAUUUACUCGGUAUCUCCUUUGUCUAUAUUUCGAAUUUCUGUGGGUUUUUAGUACAUCUCUAAUUCUGGCUCACCCAGCUAGGAGGAGCAAGUCCAAGCCAUGUGCACAUGUUUUUCUGUAGUAGUGUUACCGGACAUGCGUGUCCGUUCCGACUGCGGUCGAAGAUCCAGCUCCGGCUGUUGAUAUUCUGUUCUGUUCUGACUUCACAGUCGAUGAUCAAGUCUCGUGAUUUUGAUUUCUGUUAUCAGUCAGGGAGAUAUACAUGGCUGUUUUCUGCGUAUUUUCUGUAUUUUCUGAUUAUUUCUGUAUUCUGUCUAAAUUAUUAAUUAUUCUGCUAUAUCUGUAUUAUUAUAUUAUUUUCUGCAAUCCUACUGGACCCUUGUGGCUCAUAUACUCUGUGAAUUUUCCUUUCAUAGGAUAAGAACAAGCUUAGGAUCAGGGGGUUGUUCUAGGGCUUCUUUAGUAGUUGUGGUCUUGUCAACACCUAUUUAUUGAGGUUGUGAACCUUGUGUGCUAUUUUAUUCUAUACGAGUGAGACUUGUAUCAUGUUUGUGUAUUUUGACAUGUAAACUACUUGUGUACUCUGUAGGACUGGCAUAGUUCAUAUCUGUAUUAUCCCUGUUUCUGUGA